UACGGGGGGAGCAAGCGUUGUUCGGAUUUACUGGGCGUAAAGGGCGCGUAGGCGGCCAGCGCAAGUCAGUUGUGAAAUCUCCGAGCUUAACUCGGAAAGGUCAACUGAUACUGUGCGGCUAGAGUGCGGAAGGGGCAACUGGAAUUCUUGGUGUAGCGGUGAAAUGCGUAGAUAUCAAGAGGAACACCUGCGGCGAAGGCGGGUUGCUGGGCCGACACUGACGCUGAGGCGCGAAAGCCAGGGGAGCGAACGGG
rnacentral:rRNA from 1 species